AGUCGGAUGUGAAAUCCCCGGGCUCAACCUGGGAACUGCAUUCGAAACUGGCAGGCUUGAGUCUUGUAGAGGGGGGUAGAAUUCCAGGUGUAGCGGUGAAAUGCGUAGAGAUCUGGAGGAAUACCGGUGGCGAAGGCGGCCCCCUGGACAAAGACUGACGCUCAGGUGCGAAAGCGUGGGGAGCAAACAGGAUUAGAUACCCUGGUAGUCCACGCCGUAAACGAUGUCUACUUGGAGGUUGUGCCCUUGAGGCGUGGCUUCCGGAGCUAACGCGUUAAGUAGACCGCCUGGGGAGUACGGCCGCAAGGUUAAAACUCAAAUGAAUUGACGGGGGCCCGCACAAGCGGUGGAGCAUGUGGUUUAAUUCGAUGCAACGCGAAGAACC
rnacentral:rRNA from 2 species